rnacentral:rRNA from 1 species
GAUAAACGCUGGCGGCGUGCAUAACACAUGCAAGUCGAACGAUGAAACUUAACUGAUUUCUUCGGAAUGAUUUUAAGUGGAUUAGUGGCGGACGGGUGAGUAACGCGUGAGUAACCUGCCUUGCACAAGGGGAUAGCCGUUGGAAACGACGAAUAAUACCCUAUGAUAUAAACUCUUCGCAUGAAGAGCUUAUCAAAGAUUUAUCGGUGUAAGAUGGACUCGCGUCUGAUUAGCUAGUUGGUGGGGUAACAGCCUACCAAGGCAACGAUCAGUAGCCGGCUUGAGAGAGUGUACGGCCACAUUGGGACUGAGACACGGCCCAGACUCCUACGGGAGGCAGCAGUGGGGAAUUUUGCACAAUGGGGGCAACCCUGAUGCAGCGACGCCGCGUGAUUUAGAAGGCCUUCGGGUUGUAAAAAUCUUUUGUAUGGGAAGAAAAUGACAGUACCGUACGAAUAAGGACCGGCUAAUUACGUG